rnacentral:lncRNA from 1 species
ACAAAAAGCCUUAAAUGCGCAACUUGAUAGAAAAAGAAAAAAAAGGGGGGGGAACAACACAGUUUCAUAUUCCUGAAAUUUUCUACCCAGAUAACAGGGAAUUGCUUCCUUUUGUAACGGCAUUUAGAAAAGAAUGUCUAUUAUCAUCAGAUUACCCUGUGCUCCCAAGCACUGCGCAUCGGUGAUAAGAAGAUGCUUCAGUUUUACCAACAUGCAGCUGUUUGCUUCCUUGGACAAUCACUGGAACAACUUUAUUCACUUCCUAAUUAACCCAUGUUUCUGAAAGGAAUUGGUGAUAUCCUCAACUAUAAACAACCUCUGAAAAUAUUCCUUUUGUAGGUCAGAGUGAUGGUAAAGACCAGUCAGUGGCAGAAUUAUAGAAAGGCUUGGAUUGGAAGCUCCAACCCCCUGCCAAACACAGGACCACCAACCUCCACAUUUAAUACCAGACCAGGCUGCCCAUCCCCAUCCAACGUGGCCUUGAACACCUCCAGGGAUGGGGUAUCCACAACCAGAAGCUGUCUGUUUGCUACAGUGCAUACCUAUAGCCCCACUCCUCCAUGGGAACCAGAGCCUGGCCUGACUGUGAUAGAUGGAGACUCCUCAUUGAGUGCUUCUCCAGCUUAUGUGAACAUCCCUCUCUCUACUUAAAGGAAGAUUUUUCCAAGAGGAAAAAUUGAUGUGUAUUCCAAAUGACAAUGAAAAAAAUCUACAGGAAGAUGUUGUGUGCAUGUUUUGGUCACUGCAAGUGUUGCAUUUACUGCAGAUCAAGCCAACACUUCCAAAUACAGUUGUGUGCUAAUUAUUGGCCUAAGCCAGCUGUUCCAUAACACAUUUUCAGUUUCAGAAGUCUGGAAUUUCCUGGUUGAAAGUACUGGGCUGAAUAACAGUGGGUUUUCUGCAAUCUCAGUUGACAUCACCAGGAUUUGGGAUCUCCAGCUCACAUUGGUAGCUAUCCAGACCUAUAACUUCCUCAUGCUGCUGCUAAAACUGAAAAGCCAGAGCUCUCGGCAAACUAUAUUCCCUUUCUCUAAGAAAUUACAAAGGAAUCUUCAGUAUGGAUGAAAAAGAGAAGAUCCAAAAAAACCCAAAAGAUUACAGGAUCUACCACUGUGAGUUUCAGAGCUGCCUUCUGUUAUUCCACAUACAGCCAAACGAGUAAACCUGGCUUUGGAGCUUAAACGAAUCUUCAGAAAUUUCUUCUCAAAGUUUGCACUUCUCCAAAUUCAGUUUUAAACGAUUCAGUCUUAAAAUAACCGUGAAAUCUAAGACUAUCAACAUUUAAGUGGUUCUCCUUGGAAUAGCCAGCAGCUCUCCUCUGCAAUGCUGCUAUAAAAAAAGCUGCUAGAAUUGUAAGAGCAACAUAAAGCCAAGGUUCC